rnacentral:rRNA from 1 species
GACGUAGGGCGCGAGCGUUGUCCGGAAUCAUUGGGCGUAAAGCGCGCGUAGGCGGCCCGGUAAGUCCGUUGUGAAAGUCAAAGGCUCAACCUUUGAACGCCGAUGGAUACUGCCGGGCUAGAGUCCGGAAGAGGCGAGUGGAAUUCCUGGUGUAGCGGUGGAAUGCGCAGAUAUCAGGAGGAACACCAAUAGCGAAGGCAGCUCGCUGGGACGGUACUGACGCUGAGGCGCGAAAGCGUGGGGAGCAAACAGG